rnacentral:rRNA from 1 species
UGGGGAAUAUUGGACAAUGGGGGGAACCCUGAUCCAGCCAUGCCGCGUGUGUGAAGAAGGCCUUAUGGUUGUAAAGCACUUUAAGCGAGGAGGAGGGUACUGGUAUUAAUACUACCAGGUACUGGACGUUACUCGCAGAAUAAGCACCGGCUAACUCUGUGCCAGCAGCCGCGGUAAUACAGAGGGUGCAAGCGUUAAUCGGAAUUACUGGGCGUAAAGCGUGCGUAGGCGGCUAAUUGAGUCGGAUGUGAAAUCCCCGAGCUUAACUUGGGAAUUGCAUUCGAUACUGGUUAGCUAGAGUGUGGGAGAGGAUGGUAGAAUUCCAGGUGUGGCGGUGAAAUGCGUAGAGAUCUGGAGGAAUACCGAUGGCGAAGGCAGCCAUCUGGCCUAACACUGACGCUGAGGUACGAAAGCAUGGGGAGCAAACAGG